CCAAGCAAGCUCCAGGCUCAGCUGUCAGCCCAGAACCUGACACAGGGCUGGAACCCAUGAACCACGGGAUCAUGACCUGAGCCAAAGUCGGACACUUAACUGAUUGAGCCACCCAGGCGCCCGUAACUUUAGGUUUUAAAUCAACUUUGUACUCCUAGGGUAAAACCUUGAUGACAUCCUAAAUCAGCUUUUGCUAGAUUUGAUUUCUCCUCCUCCCUCUCCCCGUUAUCCUCCCCCUUCUCUGCCCCUCCUCCUCCUGGUGCAAAGGGAUGGUUUGGUAAAGCAUGGGGACAGGAUCUGUGGGCAGAAAGCGCUGCCGAUUUAUUAUUCUUUUACAUAGUGUCACUAGUGUUCAUGUAUGAGAUUUGCCUGUAGUUUUCUUCUCUUGGACUGUUCUCAAAACUCAGUUUUUACCAGUUAUUGUAUGUUUCCCAAUAGACUAUACUUGUGAAGUUGCACGUUUUAAUAUAUAUUCAAAGACUCAAAUUUUAAUGUAACUGUAUUGUACUGAGACAGUAAAAACCUUGGGAACAAGCCUCUGUGCCCCUGGGAAGCUCCGUGCUGGCCAUUACCACUUCUCUUGCAGAGCAAGACACCAGCUAAGGAUCAGAGCAAACUAGUCUGAGACACAGUGUCUGCUAGAUUUGACCUUUUACUGACUUUUGCCCUUAUUAUAAUAGUAAAAAUCACAUGUAAGGGGUGGAGAUUUUAACAUGUUAGACACAUAACACAUGAAGAAGUGUGACCUUUAAUUUUUUUUUAAUGUUUAUUUAUUUAUUUUUGAGAGACAGAGACAGAGCACGAACAGGAGAGGGGCAGAGAGAGAGGGAGACACAGAAUCCGAAACAGGCUCCAGGCUCCAAGCUGUCAGCACAGAGCCCGACGUGGGGCUCGAACUCACAAACCAUGAGAUCAUGACCUGAGCCAAAGCUGGACACUCAACCAACUGAGCCACCCAGGCGCCCCAGAAGUGUGACCUUUAAAUGCACAGGUCUCACUUUCUGGGAAAAGACAGAUUACGUGAUGCGAGGACGUAGCAUUCCCGAGUAAGCGGUGCCUUGUCACUGAUGGUUCUCUUGACCGGAGAGUUCAUACCAAGAUUCAGAGAAGAGCUGGAAGAGUCCUUUGGGCAGAUGUUGGACUCACUGGCCAUUUCCCAAGAGCAGCUGAAAAUGACCAAGUCCUAGGUAACACUCACCUGAGGAUGUGGCCGUGCACUUCGUCAGAGGACUGGCAACUACUGGAUGUGGUCCAGAAGAAGCUGUACUGGGUUGUAAUGUUGGAAACUUAAAGCAACCUCAGAUGAAAUAAAGAACAAUAGGGUCUGUAUCAACCCCCAGGCACAGCUGGACAGCCAAGGAAUCUGUGGGAACCCUACUAGCUUCUGUGUGACUGGAGCCCCCGGAGGGCGCGUGCCUGCAGCACCGACCACCGAAAGCGGCUCCAGGCAUCUCACCUGCUCCUCUGACUUCCUCCGUCUGGAGCCCACAGGGGCAACUCUCCUCGACACACCAUCUCUGCUGCACGCCGUCUGCUCCCUAAACUUGUCCGAGCUCCUCGAAAUAGCCUGGAGUAGGCAGGAUCUUCACUCUCCUCCAGACACGAGGAGGCCGGGGCCCAGAGAUUUGCUCCAUGGCCAGCCCAGUCCCGUCCACGCACAUCAGUGGGGUCGUGGGCUCUGCUGGUCUGCAGGUGGGACACCUGGCCAGGGUAGGACAUAGCUUGCCUAAGGCCACCAGCCUCGGAACCCUGGAGCAGCUGACUCCAGACCGUGGGCCCCUCCAGGCCCCUACCGGGCUGACUCCCCAGAGCACCAGUGAGGUGGCCAGGACAGGUGGAGAGUCCCCCUGUUGCCACCUGAAUCAUUCACGGAGACCCUCCGUGCGGCCGCUUCAGGAAGAGCUAACAGGUAUCUCACGUGGCAGUGUGCCAGGUCGAAGCCCUCUCUCUGACUCUUACGCUGACAACUUGAGAUAUUCCCAUUUCACAGAUGAGGAAAGAGAGGCUCAGGGGAACGAAACGGCUCCUUGCCAAGAGCACGCAAGUCACCAGGCCCUCCUUGGGGCCCCAGACUGUGCCUCCAACUCCACAUCCUCGCAUCUGUCUUCUGACUCAGAUGGCUGUGUUCCUUCCAUGGAAGCUCAUCAGGCCUUGGCCUGUGCUGGAAGCGGACUUGGGAUUCACAGUGGACUGCUUCCGGAAGGGAGUGGCAGAGGCGCAUGGCCAAACCAUGCGUGGACGUGGACAGCAAUGAAGGAAUCUGGGAUGUGGCUGCAGGGACGUGGUCACGGGAAGACAGGGCCCCGCAGGCCCCACAGAUGCUUCCCAGAGGCAGAAGACAGACCUGCAGUCACCCCUGCCUCCCUCUCUCCCUCCCUCCCAGAUUUCCGCAGAAUCUUGGAGGCCUAGGUGUUUCCCAGAAUUCCGGUGUUGGCUGCCACUGUCCAGGGCUCCCCUGAGAGCACUGGACCCAAGCCCUCUGAGUUCCUGGAAGUCCAGAGGCAGUCUGCUUCCAGAUUUGAAUCUUGGCCAUCCUGGGGCGCCUUGCCUAGGGUCCCACCUCCCUGGGAGCCCUUAACCCCACCCCUGUGAGGACUGGCCACUCUGGGAUGCUCCCCAGCAACUGGGUAGGGGUGGGGGUGGGGGGUCCCAGCACGGGGGCUCUCUCCCUCCCACUUUCUCCUCUCUCUGCCCCUCCUCCUCCUCCCUCCCUCCUUCCUGUUCUCUCCUUUCCCUUCUCUUCUUUCUCUUUCCUCUCCGUCUGUCUCACCAUCAGUAUCUCACUCAUGCCCUCGACACGUAUUUGCCGGGCACCUACUGCGUACGGGCCACGGUCUGGCUCCUGAACAGUCACCAACAAGACAGGCAGAGACCGCGCCUGCUGGUGGCUGGUGGGGAGCUUGCAUUCUAAGGAGGGAGAUGCCCAUUAUCCAAGAAGGGCAGUCAGUGGGCAAGUGACACUUUAGGUAGGAAGGUGGAAAAUGCUGUGAAAAACAAGAAAGGGCAGAGGGAGGGAAAGGGGAAGGGGGCUCCCGGGGUGGGGCACGUUUCCGUAUUAGACUGGGUGGCCAGGUAAGCCUGCCUCCCUCUUCCCUUCUCUCUCCCUCCCUUCCUUCCUCCGUCCCUUCUCUCCCCCCUUCCUCCCUCCUCCCUCCCUCUCCCCCUCCCGCCUCCUUCCCUCCUCUGUCUCUCCGCAUCUACUCUCCCAAAGCGCUUCCUAGUCCCCCUGGAGGCAGGCGAGUAAUCGUCGCCAAGGGUACCCGCCCGAAAUGAGGCAAAUGCCGUCGGAAGGAGAAGGAGCGCAGACGAAAGGCUCCGUGAGCUGCCUCCCAGUCUCCUCGCUCCUCAGGGUUUUCUCAGGGACCUCUGCUCGGCCUCGCUCUGUGCGCUUCGUCUCCUCUCCAGCCCCACAGCUUCUGCCCGCAUCCCGGCUCAGACUCGCUCAGAGAAGACCGUGAUAGAGACACCCUGGCCAAGAGUCCCUGGGCCCUCCAUCCAGUCUCUCCCUCACGGGCACCCACAGCUGACCCAGCCCUCCCACAGCAUAGCUCUCCAGCACCCCCAGGACGAACCCCAGCCCCCGAACCUGUCAAUCCAAACCCUGCUCCAGGUGAACUCAGCCAGGUACUGCACCCCCACCCCAGGGCUCCACCUAUAUGCCUCUACAUCAACCAAUCUAUACUUUGCUGACCGGCCCAGGACAUUUCCUGCCUUGCAGGCCCUUCCAACUCCACUUUCUAACCACCAGCC